UCUCACAAAGUGAUUCAUCCUGGUUUGAUUGGAAGGACGAAGAAGCUGUGCUAUUCCCAAACUGGGAAACUGGAAUCACCUGAUUUGAAAGUGGGAUAACUUCUUCAUCCCAACUCCUAUGAGGUUUAUUCAACUUCCUGAUGAUUCUCCACCACUUUAUGUAUCCAAAUAAAGCUUCUCACAAAGAGAUUCAUCCUGGUUUG
rnacentral:lncRNA from 1 species